AACGAACGCUGGCGGCGUGCCUCAUACAUGCAAGUCGUACGCGAAUCCUGCCGCAAGGCAGGGUUUGAGUGGCAAACGGGUGCGUAACACGUAGGUAAUCUUCCUUUGAGUUGGGGAUAAACCCUCGAAAGGGGGUCUAAUACCGAAUAACACUUCUGGUUGGCAUCAACCGGAAAUUAAAGAUGGCCUCUGCUUGCAAGCUAUCGCUCGGAGAUGAGCCUGCGGCCGAUUAGUUAGUUGGCGGGAUAAAAGCCCACCAAGACUUCGAUCGGUAGCCGGUCUGAGAGGAUGUCCGGCCACACUGGGACUGAGAUACGGCCCAGACUCCUACGGGAGGCAGCAGUAGGGAACAUUGCGCAAUGGCCGCAAGGCUGACGCAGCAACG
rnacentral:rRNA from 1 species